ensembl:lncRNA
UAUCGCUUGGCAAAUACUGUAUUAGAAGAGGAAAAUGGGAAAAUUGUGCCCUCAUCUGAUCCAAAUGAGAGAGAAAGGCGCAAUGAGAUGCUUGCUGAUAUUGAGAAUUUCCUGAUGUCGAACCUUGAGAGGAAGAGUGACUUAACCAUUGUCUUGGAGUGUCUCGAAAGCAUGCAUGAAGACUUGAAUGGGUUGGAGGUGGAUAAGGAUUUAAUUGAGGUUAAUAACAUCACAAGAGCAUGGGUAGCAUUGCAGGAUACAACGAUCCAGAGGUCCCUGUCAAGUAUUGAGACUGGUGUCAUGUGUCUCCACAAGCUUUGCGACCUUAUUUUUAGCGGGAAUAGAAAGAAGACCGCAAAAGAGAAGCAUGCAGGCAGGAAGGCAGGUGAUACUUGGUGUUGGUGGAGGGAGAGCCGUGUGAGUGCUCACA